CAACUUGUGAACUGCAGGACACAUGAACGUCGACAUUUCGAACGCACAUUGCGGUCCUCGGAUACUGUUCCCGGACCACUCCUGGCUGAGGGUCGUAU
rnacentral:rRNA from 1 species